UAAUUACUAUUUUAUAACAUACGAUACGGUGAUAAUUUUCAAAACUUGUGAUAUCGUUGAACCAAGUGUUCGAUCAAUGAUGAAAUAAAAUUGACGAGAAGAGAAGAAACAGGAAAAAAAAUGUAUAACCGUUUGAAAGUCCGUUAUAAGAAAUAAAACGGAUAUAAAUUAUAGGAUUAGAAGUCGAAACGAUUGUCGGAUAGAGUUGGAAAAAGUUGAAAAAUAAAAGUAGGAAAUGUAUAUAAAUCAGUAACGAACUUGAUGAUACUAGGAAAAUAAAAAAUCAUUAGCCCUAAAUCAUCGAAAAGUUAAUUAAUUAUCUGCGCAAUAUAGUUUCAAUUACCUACACUUGUACGUAUAUUCGUGUCACGAGAGAAUUUUAUGGCCGAUGGCAUUUUAAUUGUUUGUUUUACACGUGUGAAUGCCACGAGAUAAAUAUAUUUUGGUCGAUGGCACAUUUUAUUGCUUUAUUUGUUUCUUACUCUGUUUCGUACAAUAUCUAGAACCGUGCCACGAGUAACGAUACAAUUGGUCGAUGGCAAUGCGUUGAGCGAUUGAGUUUCUGCAUGUUAGAAAAUGGCUAAAAAGAAUUUAAAAGAAAUACUGAUUCCAACCCUCUGCCGACACGAUUUUCACGAUACCGUAAAGAAAAAAAAGAAAAAGAAAAGAACAAUGAUUAAACACUAGUAAUAAAAUUAGAAAUAUGAACUACAAUUUCUACAGUAGUUUCUUAUACGUAUUUAAAUAUUCAGUCACCGAUUUUUUUGACUCGUGGCUAAUUAUUAUGUAACGAAGAACGAACGCUUUAUCCUCUAUUUUCUUUACGUCACAUGAGUGGCGACACUCGAAUUAAUAAUGUGUGCCAAUCAAAAGAAGCCGGUAUUUCUCAUAAACGAUAACUCUUCACUCCAGUAGAUGGAGUUAUUUUUAACGUUUUGCGAAAAGUAUACGUAAUCGCGUAUUCGUAUAUUGUGCAUACAAAUAGGGUAUUUAUUUUAUUUCAUUUUGUUUCCUCUUAUUUUAUUUCAUUUUUUCCAUCAGAAUUUCGAGAUAAGGUUGGGUCAAGUCUGCAAGCUAUGCUGCUUGUAAUACAUUUAAUAUGUGUAACGUAAUACGUAAGAAAUAUGCUGUAAUACCACGAGAUUGAUAUCCGCGAGUCGAUGGCGCAAUUUCUUCACUCCUAUUCGUUGGAAAUAAUAAUCUUUCAAGAUUUCUUGCUCUCGUCAUGAUUUAAUAUGCUUUGGGAAAAAAAAAAUCCUCAGAUGUAGGUUACGUGAAUAAUUCAUAAUUAGUUCUUACGAAUUACGAGGAGCAUGCAAUUUCUGUUAUGUGGUAUUUAGCCAGUUGAUAAAUUUUUAUUCUCAAACUAACGAAAUUUCUUCUUUCUCGAUUUCAUGCACCAAUCAUACCGUUGAUGAGUUGAUCGAUACGAUUCUUGAUGGAGACGAUAGAAAUUCUGCUUUUCGAAGAGCGUGAAAAGCCGAGGGGGAACGCGACGCCGGGGAUAAAACAGCGGCGGUAAUUCCGGAUGAAGCCGGUGCGGAGCACCUGCCAGAUCAUCCGGACAUUUCGACGGGUGGUUGCAGCUUGGAUGCAGCCGGCGCAACGACUCUCUUCUCUCCGAGGAGAUGCUGGUGCAGCUGAGCAGCUAAGAUGUGACGUCACGGUGGCCGCCCGGUCUCGGGACUAAUAUGGCAAACCGGUCAACCGGUCUGACGAUCCCCGGUUUCGAACCAGCUCCUCCUUCACCGUCUGCCGGAUAACUGUUCAAAAAGAUCGGAACCAUCGCGCGGCAUCGCCUGCUUGCUCUUUAACGUCAAUUUUAUUUUUACUUUUACGUAAUAAUUGCUCGAUUUCGGAUUUGUUGCUAGACAUCGCAACCUGAGUCGUGAAAAGUUACACGAUCGAAAGAUGCCUACGACAUUUUUUAUCUUAACAAUUAUCUUUUUCUUUCUUCAACAAACAAUUUCCCCGAUCAUUUUUCGUUACAUGGUUUUCGAGUCUUACUAGUUCAACCGUUGUUACAGUAUAAUUGAUUACUAGUGCGGUAUUGUUCAGCCGGAAUUGGAAUUAUCACUUUUCUCAGACUCAUUUUUUUUUUUUUUUUUUUGAAUAUAAUUGAAACACCUUUGGCUGGCAAUUGUUCAUUAAUAUUACAUUUUAUACUUCUUCUCGUAGGAGGUAGAAUGUGUAAUGAGCUCCGUUUUUUUCUUGCAUAGUCUCAAGAACUGUAAUAAAAUUUGAAGCCUGAUAUCUUGAGUCCGAAAAUUCGAUUAUCAAUAUUUCGGAAAACAAUCACAAUACGUGACUGGGAAAAUGUUUAUACAUUGUACAUAUAAUAUUUUCACUAUUUUUUAUUCAAAAUUGAUUCAGACCGUUUCCAUUCACGGAUGACACUGUUGUAAUAAUUUAUUUAUAAAUAACCUAGAACCUCAAGUUACAAGUACGAGGGAAUAAAAUGUUAAUAAAUUUGAAGAAAAACCGAA
rnacentral:lncRNA from 1 species